AACACUGUUAACCUGCGGUACCUGCGGAAGGAUCAUUAAAAGGAACGGGGGCCGGAGACGGCACCCCUACCAACCCGUGUCUACCUUACUCGCGUUGCCUCGGCGGGCCCGCCGUCUCUCCGCUUGCGGGGGGAGGCCGCCGGCGCCUUCGGGCGCUGGCCAGCGCCCGCCAGGGGACCUCUGCAACCCGUGUCAACCGUGGACCCUCUGAGCGGAUAUCAAACAGUCAAAACUUUCAAC
rnacentral:misc_RNA from 1 species